GCUCUUUCUAGAAUUGCUAUUUAUAGUAAGCAUAUGUCGUUAGAAUCAGAUGUGGUCAUCACAACCUCCUGAGGUGGGUGGGUAAAUGCCACUGUCUCAUGGAGGAGGUGUCUGCCCCCCAGGGAGGUUGGGUGGUCGGCCCCUAAUUCCCCAAAUGCCGAGUGUGUACGUGGCCAGCUUAGAUCCACAGUCUGCCCCCACCAGCCUGCAUGCUGCCAAGCAUCCCAGUUCUGAGCAGGGCAGGGUUUAACCCUGUUUGCAGAACUCACAAAAGGCGUGGCCCAGGUCUCACAGCUGGGGGGGUGGCGGAGGCCCACUGGCCCCUGCUCCUUGCUGGCAGGCUGACACCCAGCCUGUGUGGGGCUUGCUCAUCGGGGCCUUGCUCUGAGCUGGCAGCCCUCAGGGUCAGGACGCCUGCUGGGGGCACCUCCCUGCCCCUCCCUUGUUCCUGCAGAGCUGGACUCCCGGAGCCUGGCCUGAGAGCCACCUGGGCAAGCUGCCAGUGCAGGGAAGUAGCAGGCAGGCGCACUGUCAGCUCCAGGAAGUGUCUCUGUUCCGGGGCCGGUCUGCAGGACCGAAGGGCCUGGACAUAACAGCAGAGAUGGGAGCUGGGGGCUAAGCAUGCCCCCCACAAGGCCCAGCAGCUCUGGGCCUGGCUCCCAGGCUUGCCCUGGUGGUCAGGACCCGGGCCUGGGCCACGCCUUCCCUUGCUGGGCCUGGGCUGUCUCCUCCGUCUGGCUCCUGCUCUGCUCCCCACCAGCUCUGCUGCCAAGUACAUGCUCUUGGCGGCAACGACAUCCAUUUAACCUGCUUCCCAGAAGACAGCAUGGUUACGCGGGCCGGCUCAGCCAGCAGCAUGGUGGGAAAAGGGGAGGGGGACCCCUCAGCUUGGUCUUCUCUUGCCCAUAUUUCUUAGGGAUCUGGGGGGGGCUGGCCCUAAGCAACCUUGCUUACUUGGGUCAGAAGUAACCUCAGCUCAACUGGAAGCCUCAAGCAGCCACGCUAAAGACAGAACUUUGAGCUCCUGGAGUUGGUGGGUGUUUGUAUGAGGGGCAAUCAUUUAGCCUGAGGCUUGGGUAAAGCUGGCUUCCCUAGUAGCUCAGUUGGUAAAGAAUCCGCCUGCGUUGCAGGAGACCCGGGUGCGAUCCCUGGGUUGGGAAGAUCCCCUGGAGAAGGGAAGGGAAGGGAAGAGAAGGGAACGGCUACCCAGUCCAGUAUUCUGACCUGGAGGUAUCCGUGUGGACAGCAUGUUCAUUUCACACCAGCCGUGCUGCUCAGGAAGCAAGUGUAGGUCUUCAGGCAUUGCAUAGUCUCUUCUGUUUGUGAUCUCUACAAAGAUGACCUUUCCUGCAGUCUCCUCUCUGGCCCUCCUGCCCUUGGCCAGACCCUGUUAGGAUGGUGGUUCUGGACUAAGUAGCUGCUCUCCUUGUCCCUUUGCUCCUCUCGUCUGGCCCUUGAGGCCCAGGGAGGCAUCCUCCCCCUCACUGGGGUUCAUCCUACAGGUCCAGAUGCCGUCAGCUUCAUGACCUCCCUCUGGGCCAGAGCUCCUCCCUCCCUACCAGCCUCCUUGGGGUGCAGAUGGACAGCCCAGCACACUCAGGAAUAGCCCUCUGUUUGCCUUGGCUGGUGGGGAAGAGAUUACUGCUCACUUUCUGUUUUGACUCUUAUAUUUAGCUAACACACACAGCCUGUGAGAUGGCAGAAAAGCAGCCUUGGGUCUUGAAUGAGUCUGGGGCCCAUCCCUGAUGGCCUGGCCCCUGGGGAGUGGAGGUGUCUGGAGGUAGGAAUGGGUGAUAACACUGCCUUCUGGGUACAUGGAGAGAGGUGAGAACCAUCAGUUGGUUUUCCUGACCCAAGGUCCUCUGCCCUUUCAUGUUUUCCUCUGGGGGUUACUCCUCCCCACCCCUGAGGUUUGCAUGGGGCCAGCCCCAUCCCCUGGCUUUAGAGGCUGGCAUGUGUCCCAGCUGGACACUGAGAUGCCCCGCUUGGGAUUUCUGCAGCAGCCACGGGAAAGAGGCAUUCACUUUUCAUGGGAGUUGCCAGGUUGAUGGAACUUCUGGUGACCACUCCUGUUCUCCACUUGAGGACGAAGCCAACAAAGAGGAAAGAGUCAAGAGGUGGAAAAAGUAUGCUGUCCAGAUAUCAGUAAGCCCCUGGACCCAGCCAUGCCUGAAACUGACCACAUCUCUGGACUAAUCUGAUUAUAUGAGCCAAUGAAUGCAUUUCAUUUUUUCUAAAACUAUCCUGAGUUGGGUUUCUGUCAUAGGGUCCUAAGAAAGCUAUAUUUUUCUUUGAUCUCAUUUUAAAAAAUCAACUUUAAGCUAUACUUUACAUGCACCCAUUUUAAAUGUCCAAUUCAUGAGUUUUUUCAAAUGUGUACACCCUUGUAACUACUACUGCAAUCGAGUUGUAGAACAUUUCAGGUUCCUUAUUCCCCUUUAUGGUCAGUCCUCCUGACCCCAAACAACCACUGACCUGCCUUUGUCCUAGAGAUUCAUUCAAUCUUCUCUUGGUUCAGGUCCCUGGAGGUUGAGGAGAGCGUUUCCUCGAUGCCCAUAUUAUGGAUCAACCUGGGUCAUUUCUCCUGAGACUCAGAGUCACUCCUGGUCCAACUGUGCUGAAGCUGGAUGCACCUCUGGGCCCCACAGUUUUGUGGUUCAAUACAGCCUUCCCUUCCUUUGAGCCAGCUCACCACAGAAGAGAGUUCUGCCUGAAAAAACUCAACCACCGCACCCUUCAGUGAAGCUCCGCCCAAGAACCUCCAGGCAAAACCAACUAAUGGUCAGUCCAGCUCACCUCCUGGGAGCCAGACACUACUAAGUGCUUUACAGGCAUUAUCGCAAGUCUUCUCAGCAACCCUCGGGGAGAUCAAAGAAGUAGAAAAGAAGAAUAAGUAAUUACCAGGUGACCAGAUCUCUUCCCCAGCUUCCCCCUCGGUAAUCGCACGAACAAAUGGUGGGAACAAGAUAGCACUAACAUGAAAGAUCACAAGAAGUCGACAAGCCUGCACACAGCUGGCGAUCAUGACACCUCUGACCCCCUCCAUCAGGGAUUAUCUGAGCUGACUUCCCUUUUCCCCCUUAGAAACUUCCAUGGCCAAGCAGACUCUUCAGAGGUGGUUUUGGCGGAACACCCGAGUGCACCAUCUCCCCAGACUGCCGGCAUCCUGAUUAAAAGGAACUUUCUAUCGACAACUGCUUCUUGGGUGUUGAUUUGCAAGCAGCUGGACUGAGUUUGGAAACAGCAGAUGAGAUGGGAGGAUAAAUUCCUUCAUCCUCCCUCCCUUGGACCAUUUCAGGCACAUUUUUCCAGAUGGGGUUUGUUGUACAGUGGUUACACAUCACCUUGCUUUGCUUCCUGUUCUUCCCGACCUCCUUUCUCUUAUCCCUCCCUCUAGCUGCCCUGGAAUUCCACUUCCAAGUUAAUGUAUCAGCCCUUAAUCCCUUGCCAGAGGGCCCACUUUCUAGGGAACUCGGCAGUCUGACUCCUGUGUCUGCACUGCACGGCCUCGGUGAAUGCUGAACAAGAGGACAGAUACACGACGGGUCUUGGCCCUGCGGUUGGGGACUGAAGAGGAAAUAUGAAUGGUGUCAAAUUCACCAUCAGAGAUGCCAGCAAUAAAGGUGUCCCCUUCAUCUCUCCCCGGGUCUAAUCAGUCAAAUCCUGACUCCAUACUGUAGGUCAGAGACUGUGGCCUCCCGCACUAACCUCUGUCCAAUACAAAACAGUCCAUGCUCCUUAUCCAUCACUCGCUGGGUAUGUGAUGCUGGCAAGGUACUCAGCCUCUCUGAGCUGCCUUCCCCAUCUGUACAAGGGGGAUAAGAAUGGUCUCACCCCCUGAACUGUGGAGAUGCCUGAUGGACACUAGGUUUGUGCCUAAAGCAGAGUGGGGGGAGGGCAUUGUGGAGACCACGUGUCCAACAGAGGUCCUGCUUUCUUUUGAGAAGCACCCCUCUUUCUGUCCCUACUGGGUAAAUAGGGCUGUCCCACCCCUACUGCCAGAUCCAGGCUAAUCCACACAUCUCAAUAUUGACCACAGGAUCGGAUCAGGCCUGGGCAUGAGACCCAAGUCAGACCAGUCCCCGCCACAGUUCCCUGAAGUUUCUGGAACAAGGAAAGAGCUGUUUGCUCUCUGCUGAGAUCCUUAGCCUGGAGGUACCCAAGGCCAUUUUUUACUGUUUGGACAUGUGAGAGUGAACGUCAGUGCAGUGACGUCAGAAGAUAGCAAAGACAAGAGAUGGAGCAGGACGCAGACUCUGGUGAUGGCCUUGGAGCUCCCUAUCCACCACGCCAGCAGCUAGGGAACCCCUGGUAUUUUUAGAAAUUAAUACAUAUGCAAAAAUUCUCCAUUUCAGUUGCCUAAGCCAGUUCAAGUUGCAUUUCUGUUACUUAAAACUGAAAUGGUCUUGGGUCUUACCUUGUGGGCCAGUGGUGAAGAAUACACCUGCCAACUUAGGGGACAUGGGUUCGAUCCUUGGUCCGGAAAGAUCCCACAUGCCACAGGGUAACUAAGCCCACCCUCUAGAGCCCGUGCUCCUCAACAAAAGUAUCCACUACAACAAGAAGCUUGUUUGCAUGCAACAAUGAAGAGCCUGCAACUAGAAAAAGCCUGAGGCCAGCAACAAAGAGCUCCUGCACCUCAUUAGAGACCCAGCGCAGCCAAAAAUAAUUUUAAAAAACCUGAAA